UCGAGUGCAGACACCCUGUGUGAACGGCUGAGGGUACAAGUAUUUGGGGACGAUCCCUAGAACAGUGCCUUGCAAACCCAGUGUGCGGAGGAGCCUCCCGGGGGCGCGGACUCUCGGGGGAGCAGGAUGGAAUCUGAGACGAUCACGUGGUGCUGAGGCUGGCGCACAAACCCCACUUUAAGUAACAAGGCCCUGGUCUGGACUCUCAAAGCUUCCUGGAGGAAGGAAACAGACGGGGCAUGUCUUGCUUUCUGCCAUAUGUCCCCCACAGCCCACAGCACCUGAAGUCGAGCUAUGGAGGAGGAGGAGCCUCCUGGGAAGACGCACAGGACUGCAACGCAUCCAGAGGCAUUAUGGGGCUGCAAGCCGAGCUUCUGUCUGGGGCGCCAGGGAAACGACGCAGCACCUCGCCUGGGCUUUCCCGAAGCAACAAGAGCUAACAGCCUGAGCCCCAGGGUCAUGUCCUCCUUGUUCCUCUGGAUAUUUCCAUCUGUGCCAGCCUGUCACAUGUCACUCAGUGGCACUAAUGACCCCAGGGAAUGAGAGGACAGAAAAAGUCAGGAAGCACAGGAGCCUCCUUCUCAGCUUGCAAAAGCCUGGUACUGUGUGCAUUUGCUAGGAAAUUCAGAUCACCAGCAACAAAAGUCCCUGUGAGCUUCUGACCCAACAACAACACAUCAGUCAAAGGCCACUGAAGAGGUUACUGGCUUCUGAGUUCCCGGCAGCAGGAUAAACUCCGACCUCUCUGUGAGACCCAAAACCCAGCUCCAUACAGACCUCAGUCUGGUUCAAAUUCCACCUCUGCCUACUUUGGCACCUGAACAACCCCCCAGCAAGUCACCUCAGCCCACCAUGCUACACAUCCCCGCCGCACAGCGGAGCUGGUGAAGGGAAAAUCAACGUAUCCCAAAGAUUUCUGUGACGAUAAAAUGGCUUAACUGAUGUCAAGCACUGCACAGUGCCCCUUCCCUGAGGUUUCCUUGACCUCGGUAUCAGGCGUCCUAAUAAGACGUCAGAUGAAAACAGCAACUGGAGAAUUCUGCUUCUGUCAAAGAGGGCAGGCAUAGUGACCCACACCCGGAAUCCCAGCCAGCACCGGGGAGGCUGAGGCAGGAGGAUGAGGACGGGUAGCUCAUGCUAGCCUGGGCUACCUAGCAAGAUCUUACAAACGAGGCAGAGGAAAAAGAAGUAGGAGAGAAGUAAAUGUGCACGGUGGUCCCUGUUGGAAAAAUCCAGACUGCAUGUGGAGGCUGAAACAUGGGCCCCUGUCUUUUCUUUAUUUGUAAAGAAGAAUGCGCAUCACAGAGGAACACAGGCCUCGGUGCCCAGGGACGGGGACAGGGACAGCUCGGCUCCAUUCCAGGCCCGUGUGUGUGUGUGUGUGUGUGUGUGUGUGUGUGUGUGUGUGUGUGUGUGUGUGAGAGAG